GCCUAACACAUGCAAGUCGAACGGAGUAUUUAAUGAAGCUUGCGAUUUAAAUACUUAGUGGCGAACGGGUGAGUAACGCGUGGGUAACCCGCCCUUAAAACCGGAACAACAGUUGGAAACGACUGCUAAUGCCGGAUGUUACCUGAGGGUCAAAGAUUUAUCGCCUUUGGAGGGGCCCGCGUCGGAUUAGGUAGUUGGUGGGGUAACGGCCUACCAAGCCUAUGAUCCGUAACUGGUCUGAGAGGAUGACCAGUCACACUGGGACUGAGACACGGCCCAGACUCCUACGGGAGGCAGCAGUGGGGAGUAUUGGACAAUGGGGGCAACCCUGAUCCAGCAAUGCCGCGUGGGUGAUGAAGGCCUUCGGGUUGUAAAGCCCUUUCGGCGGGGACGAUGAUGACGGUACCCGCAGAAGAAGCCCCGGCUAACUUCGUGCCAGCAGCCGCAGUAAGAC
rnacentral:rRNA from 1 species